CAUUACUAGCAAACAUGGCUGCUAUGUAUGCUGUUUAUCAUGGACCAGAGGGCCUAAAAACCAUUGCGCAACGUGUCCACGGUCUUGCUGGGGCAUUUGCUGUGGGACUGAAAAAACUUGGAAACAUUGAAGUCCAAGGUCUUCCCUUCUUUGAUACUGUGAAGGUUACAUGUGCUGAUGCCCAUGCUAUUGCUGAUGCUGCUUACAAGAGUGAGAUUAAUUUGCGAGUUGUAGAUGCCAAAACUGUGAGUCUGAUUCCAUUUAUGAUUUUAUUUGGUCAAAUAUUAUUAUAUAUCACGAGAUUACCAGGACUUCGGUUGCUUUUCAGAUCACUGUUUCAUUUGAUGAAACAACUACCUUGGAUGACUUGGACAAGCUUUUCAAAGUAUUUGCUGGUGGCAAACCAGUGAGUGCUAAUAAUCUUUUCUAUAGUUAUAAUGUUCACACUUAUUUUUUGCCCUAUUGAAUUAGAAUCACCCUGUAUCUAAACUUUCAGGUCUCAUUCACUGCUGCAUCUCUUGCACCAGAGGUUGAGAAUGCAAUUCCUUCUGGGCUAUUAAGACAGAGUUCAUAUCUUACCCACCAAAUAUUUAACAUGUACGGAACUUUCAUGAAACGACGACCUACUUGUAGCUUACAAAUCAAAUGUGCCACUCUCACUAUUAUUUGUUAUCUUUUCAGGUAUCACACAGAACAUGAGUUGCUUCGGUACCUUCACAAGUUACAAUCAAAGGAUCUCUCAUUGUGUCAUAGUAUGAUUCCAUUAGGAUCUUGUACGAUGAAACUAAAUGCGACAACUGAAAUGAUGCCCGUGACAUGGCCUGGUUUCACUGACAUCCACCCUUUUGCCCCUUCUGAACAGGCUCAGGGUUAUCAGGCAAAUAUUCCUUUACCUAGAACUCCUUGAUGCUUUAAAAGAAAAUGUAGCAAAGAGUGAAUUUUAAAUCCUCAGUUUAUUGAUGAAUUAUGGUUUCUGGUUUAUUAGGAAAUGUUCAAUAAUUUGGGUGACCUGUUGUGUACUAUCACCGGGUUUGACUCCUUCUCUUUGCAACCCAAUGCUGGCGCUGCUGGCGAGUAUGCCGGACUAAUGGUUAUCCGUGCAUAUCAUAAGGUAAGUGACACUAACCAGCUUUUAAUCCUCUUCACCAAAAGAAAAGGAAUUCCUUUUAUUAGUAUAAUGGUAGAAUUGAUUAUGCUGAUGCAUACUCCGGAUGAAUACUGCAGUCAAGAGGAGACCAUCACCGGAACGUGUGUAUCAUACCUGUUUCAGCACAUGGGACAAAUCCGGCCAGUGCUGCAAUGUGCGGAAUGAAAAUUGUUCCUGUAGGAACUGAUUCCAAGGGUAACAUCAACAUUGAAGAAUUAAGGAAAGCUGCUGAAGCUAACAGGGACAAGUUAUCUGCUCUCAUG
rnacentral:lncRNA from 1 species